rnacentral:misc_RNA from 1 species
AAGUCGUAACAAGGUCUCCGUAGGUGAACCUGCGGAGGGAUCAUUAACACAUAUGUGUAUGCCCUAACCGGUAUGCAUAUCAACCAAACACGCGAACUUGGAAAGGUCUGCUGCAAAGUGGACUGAUCCGAUCCAACCCUUCUCCCUAUGAGAUACGGUCAAUAGUGCUGCUUAUGCGUGCGCUCUCGUUGUGAUGUCUAAGAGAGCCCGAGUAUGAGCUAAAGUUAAAUCUUAAGGCCGAUUGUAUCUUGUAGGCAUUAACUUUGAUUGUAUGUUCCUGACAUUACACAUGGGACUGCAGUCGUGCUCUAACCCUUUUCACCGCACCUAUACCUUAUUGACUGAUGUCGCUUUUGUGUCGCAAGACAUAACAGCAAACCAAUUCGAGAUAUUUCUCAAUUGUUAAGCACAACUCUUAGCAACGGAUAUCUUGGUUCUC